rnacentral:rRNA from 1 species
CGCAAGAGGGCAAACCCAGUGCUUGCACUGGGGGUUGUAGGACUGCAAUGUGCAAGAGCUGAGUUUAGCAGAACAUUCUGGAAAGUAUAGCCAUAGAGGGUGAUAGUCCCGUAUGCGAAAAACAAAGCUUAGCUAGCAGUAUCCUGAGUAGGGCGGGACACGAGGAAUCCUGUCUGAAUCCGGGUCGACCACGAUCCAACCCUAAAUACUAAUACCAGAUCGAUAGUGCACAAGUACCGUGAGGGAAAGGUGAAAAGAACUGAGGUGAUCAGAGUGAAAUAGAACCUGAAACCAUUUGCUUACAAUCAUUCAGAGCACUAUGUAGCAAUACAGUGUGAUGGACUGCCUUUUGCAUAAUGAGCCUGCGAGUUGUGGUGUCUGGCAAGGUUAAGCAAACGCGAAGCCGUAGCGAAAGCGAGUCUGAAUAGGGCGCUUAGUCAGAUGCUGCAGACCCGAAACGAAGUGAUCUAUCCAUGAGCAAGUUGAAGCUAGUGUAAGAACUAGUGGAGGACUGAACCCAUAGGCGUUGAAAAGCCCCGGGAUGACUUGUGGAUAGGGGUGAAAGGCCAAUCAAACUUCGUGAUAGCUGGUUCUCUCCGAAAUAUAUUUAGGUAUAGCGUUGUGUCGUAAUAUAAGGGGGUAGAGCACUGAAUGGGCUAGGGCAUACACCAAUGUACCAAACCCUAUCAAACUCCGAAUACCUUAUAUGUAAUCACAGCAGUCAGGCGGCGAGUGAUAAAAUCCGUCGUCAAGAGGGAAACAACCCAGACUACCAGCUAAGGUCCCUAAAUCUUACUUAAGUGGAAAACGAUGUGAAGUUACUUAAACAACCAGGAGGUUGGCUUAGAAGCAGCCAUCCUUUAAAGAAAGCGUAAUAGCUCACUGGUCUAGUGAUUUUGCGCGGAAAAUAUAACGGGGCUAAAGUAAGUACCGAAGCUGUAGACUUGCGCACAACUUAGAUUAUUUAAGUUUAGAAUAUGAGAAACUAAGUUAUAUUUUUACUGAUUUUUAUAGAGUAAAGAUAGAAAUAAAACUUAGUAAAAUCAGUAAAAAUAUUCUUAGGCUAAAGUUAAGUAGUUUAAGUUGUGUGCAAGUGGUAGGAGAGCGUUCUAUUUGCGUCGAAGGUAUACCGGUAAGGAGUGCUGGAGCGAAUAGAAGUGAGCAUGCAGGCAUGAGUAGCGAUAAUUAAUGUGAGAAUCAUUAACGCCGUAAACCCAAGGUUUCCUACGCGAUGCUCGUCAUCGUAGGGUUAGUCGGGUCCUAAGUCGAGUCCGAAAGGGGUAGACGAUGGCAAAUUGGUUAAUAUUCCAAUACCAACAUUAGUGUGCGAUGGAAGGACGCUUAGGGCUAAGGGGGCUAGCGGAUGGAAGUGCUAGUCUAAGGUCGUAGGAGGUUAUACAGGCAAAUCCGUAUAACAAUACUCCGAGAACUGAAAGGCUUUUUGAAGUCUUCGGAUGGAUAGAAGAACCCCUGAUGCCGUCGAGCCAAGAAAAGUUUCUAAGUUUAGCUAAUGUUGCCCGUACCGUAAACCGACACAGGUGGGUGGGAUGAGUAUUCUAAGGCGCGUGGAAGAACUCUCUUUAAGGAACUCUGCAAAAUAGCACCGUAUCUUCGGUAUAAGGUGUGGUUAGCUUCGUACUAGGAUUUACUCCGAAAGCGAAGAAACUUACAACAAAGAGUCCCUCCCGACUGUUUACCAAAAACACAGCACUCUGCUAACUCGUAAGAGGAUGUAUAGGGUGUGACGCCUGCCCGGUGCUCGAAGGUUAAUUGAUGGGGUUAGCAUUAGCGAAGCUCUUGAUCGAAGCCCGAGUAAACGGCGGCCGUAACUAUAACGGUCCUAAGGUAGCGAAAUUCCUUGUCGGUUAAAUACCGACCUGCAUGAAUGGCGUAACGAGAUGGGAGCUGUCUCAAAGAGGGAUCCAGUGAAAUUGUAGUGGAGGUGAAAAUUCCUCCUACCCGCGGCAAGACGGAAAGACCCCGUGGACCUUUACUACAGCUUGACACUGCUAUUUGGAUAAGAAUGUGCAGGAUAGGUGGGAGGCUUUGAGUAUAUGACGCCAGUUGUAUAGGAGCCAUUGUUGAGAUACCACUCUUUCUUAUUUGGGUAGCUAACCAGCUUGA